GUCUACACUGGCUCAGUUGGUCGAGCAUAAGACUCUUAAUAUUAAGGUUGUGGGUUCGAAACCCACGUUGGGCA